UACGGGGGGAGCAAGCGUUGUUCGGAUUUACUGGGCGUAAAGGGCGCGUAGGCGGCCACCGCAAGUCGACUGUGAAAUCUCCGGGCUUAACCCGGAAAGGUCAGCCGAUACUGCGGGGCUAGAGUGCAGAAGGGGCAACUGGAAUUCUCGGUGUAGCGGUGAAAUGCGUAGAUAUCGAGAGGAACACCAGCGGCGAAGGCGGCACUCUGGGCUGGAACUGACGCUGAGGAGCGAAAGCGUGGGUAGCAAACAGG
rnacentral:rRNA from 1 species